GAAAUUUAUUUCCUUUCGCCCCUCCCCUUAAAUCUGGGCCAGCCUUGUGACUCACUUUGACUAGUAGAAGGUGGAAGUGAUAUUAUGCCAGGUCCAGACUUAGGCCUUAGGAGGCCUGGCAGUUUCCAUUUUCACCCUCUUGGGAUCCAGCCACUAUGAAACCAAGUUCACCUGCUUUAUUGGAGAGAGAAAUGACCUAGAAGAUGAAAGACAGCAAAGGGAGAGCAGGAUGCCCAGCCAGCCACCAGCCAUUCUGACCCCUUCAGCUGAGGCACUGCAUGGACAGCGCUGGGGAGAAUGAACGCCUGAGUACUCAUGUCUUUAUGCACUGUAGUAUUAUUUCCUUACAACAGACUCCUGAACCUGGAACGGCAGUGUCAAAGGGUUCACAAAAUGUUAGACUUCUGAAGCAAAUCAGAUGGCACCUUUUUUGAAUAAUGAAGAAUCUUUACCCCUGGCAUGAGGAGCUGAGGACAACUCCCACUCCACGAUGUGAAGCCACAGAGUUUCGAGGCCCCAGGACCUCCAGCGUCAAUGUUGUGGGAUGAUGGGUGACAGAGCCAAAGCAUCGCCAUCUUGGACAAGCACGGUCAUUCUGAAGUUCCCCUUGAUCAAAAACUGCCUAAACCCAAAGGAUAUCAGCCUGAUGGCUAAGGCCUUGCUUCCUGGACCCACACAUCUCACCUGUGGGGAAGAUGGAACCAUAUAUUGGCCACUGGUUUAAUGUACAAGAUGUGUCUCCAGUCCCAAUGGUAGACAUCCUAUAGCCAAGACUCCAUCCAAUUGCCUGACCUCCACAUGUCCCUACUCUGACUGGAACCUUGUGGGUAGUUUAGGUCUCUGAGGAUCAGUCAAGCUCAGAGCAAGAUUGAAUAACCCCUGGAAGGUGUGGAUAUUCCUAUUUCCCCAGGAUCAGAGGCAUAUUUACCAUAAAGCUAAUGAUGCUUAUGCUUCAAGACUGCUCACUUACUAAAGCCCUGGUGUUAACAUGAUCAUAUGCAUUUAUAAA
rnacentral:lncRNA from 1 species